UUCAGCAUUUGUUUGAAGGUUUAUCCGACCCGUUGAUUUUCUCUCACAUCUUAGUUCUUCCAGCCGUUUUACUCUUGGAUCGAAGAAAAAUUGGAAAAUGUUUCAGUCAUGCCAAAUCGACAAGGAGCUAAUUGGUAGAAUAGUGGGCUAAUUGAAUCCAUGAAGCUUACACUAACUGGCACAAUCGACGGUACGAUGGUACAU